rnacentral:piRNA from 1 species
UGAAUAAGCUCACCCUUUGUAGCUCUUGCC